CCUGCGGUAUGACUUUUACCUUCGUGGAAGUGAAUUCUACUGCUUGAUCAUUCUUUGGAAAGAGACCCAACACUCUACUGGUGAUCCUGAUUUCCCGGGAAAGCGCUCGCAGCUUUUAAUGCAGCUGUACCGCAUCGACAGCCAUUUCUUUCAGUGACAUGUCUGUAUUGGAGGCCUACGUGAGUUAAGGACGGCAGCUUGAUCUUUCCAUUGGCCACAUCACCAUCCCAUUCAGAUGCUAAGCAAUUUCAGGAAAGAUUACAUUUCUUCUGGACCUGAGAGCAAAACCAUUUUCUUAGUGACUGGCGCCCCUGGCAGGGUGCCCAGGGAAACCCCGCAGCGCCCUCCUUUGUGGGCCUGCUCCGCAGAUCUCCAAUCAUGACUAGACUGGCUCACAGCACAUAGGAUUUGGCUCACUGAAGACUAAGCUAACCUGGCCGUGGUUGGGAUGAAUGAGGAGAUUCAGCGCCUCCAUUUGUCUCUCAUCCUCCGAUAGACUGGGCUAAGCAUAUUCUCCUGGCAAUUGCGAUUGCAAGCUCUGUACAAGCUUAAUUGCCUGUGUGUUCCUGUUCCAGUUCCAACAACUCCUCAUUAGUCAGUUCCUCAAGAGCCACGUCUAGUUGCUCCUCAAUUCCACCCUCAUCAACACCCAGAUGGAAGUUGUUUGCCAUCUUAACCACAGCCUUGUAGCAUUUUGCAACCUCCUCAUCCUUGGAAAAUCCUUUGAAGUCAUGGAUGAACCUCUUGAGUGUUCCAGAUGCCAUCAUAAACUUCUCGGUGACAUCAUCGUGAAAGGUGUUUGGUGCGGUCACGGAUGUUGUAUUCCUUUCAGAAUUGUGUCAGGGUUUUCUCAGUUACAGCAAAGCCUGGACAAAGGUUCUACUCAGGCAGUAGGAGUUAAAAGCUGCUAUAACUCCUUGAUCCAUUCAUUGGUAAAAUCAAAGAAGUGGUGUUUGGAAGGAGAAACACAGCUUUGGUAUUGGCAUGAAGAGCACCAAUAAAAGGAGGAUGUUUAGGAGCAUUAUCAACAAUAAGCAAAAUCUUGAAAGGUAUGUUAUUUCCCAAAUGGUACUUCCCCAUU